rnacentral:lncRNA from 1 species
AUGCUCAGCGGUGGCAGUUGGGGGGGGUGUGUGUCUGAGAUGAUCCCAGGGGCACUUGGAGGGGGAGACCUUCGGGCUAUGAAAAGUAGCUUUGGAAGUUUGGGCCCUGUGAAGGGAAGUCAACCUGGCAGAAGCUUACCUGAGGUUGCAAAACACUGUUCUGUCUGUUCUUUCCCCAGCUUUUGCAAAUCGUCGGGCGACACACCUCCAGCAAAGAAGAGAAAAUCAGAUCAUACCACCUCUCAAGUUAAAGAGAAAGUCAAAGAAGUCUCUACUCAGGUGAAGUUGCCAACUAGGGCGACCAAGCGCCGGAGGCCUUCAGGCAGCGAUGAUGCUUCCAGCACAGAGUCUGGGAAAGAGACUUUUGAACCAGCAGCUAAAAGACGAAGGCUCUCUACGCUAGAUGAGGAAACACUACAAGCUGGUUUGCUGCUUGGUCAAGUCCAAGGCUCCAAGGAACCACCGAUGACUUACCUGGAAGCACCAAAACUUGGAGGAGAUGUCUAUCCGUGUGCACCACCAAUGACCAGUGUCAAAUAUAUUGAUGUUUGCUGCCCAGAGCCUCAGGACAUUGAAAUGACGAGCUGCUCCCCACCGCCAGAAGAACUUCAGGAAAGAGCAGUGGAACAAGCCGUUGCAGGGAAAAACAAUGGAGCUGCUCUUGAUGUGGAAAAAAAGGAACUCCCAAGCUUGGAAAAAACAGUAGAAGGCUUUAUUCCGCUCACAGAGGUACCAUAGCUGACAGUCUGUUAGAGGAAACAGAGGGCUGGGAAACAGCUGGAAGGAGCUCCAUUUAUUAGAGGGGGUUCUUAAGGCUUUUGGAAAUCUGAAGAACUUGAGUUGAACCUGUUACAGAGUGUCUGCAGCUGUGACUUCACAGUGCAAGGGUCAGCACUAAAGCUGGUUUGAAGGAUUUAAAGGCUUUAAAGGCAUUAUGCUCCACGCGCUCCUUCGGUUGUGCUGCCUGAGGGUUUGUGGGGCUCCUCUUACCAGGACAAAAAUUGGUCUGGGUUUAACAACGGGCUCCCAGAGCAGUGCUAACCUGAUUCGUGCAGUUCUACUGCAUCUGCCUCUUAACCUGACCUACCCAGGAGACAGACCCUGAAAUAGAAGCUUUUGCUGAUCCAUGGGGUCGAGUUGCUUGUUGGGGGACCUGAGCAUUUGUGUCCAUCCUCAGGAUCUCCCAGAGUCAUGGAUGCACUGCACGUAGCGGCGGUGACGGGAGUUAGUGAUGCCAUGCAAGGGAGUGGGAGUGCAGGUUGCCCUGCUUGGGAUGAAUUUUGGCUGCUGUUCUUCUUGGGAGCUGCAGUCUCACUGAGCACCGCCUUUUUUUGCCUGUUGAGGAUUGACUUGGAAAGGGCUGGCACAUCCAGAGUUUACAAAGGCUGCAGACUCACAGAAUCAUAGAAUUGCCCAGUCUGGAAGGGACCUCCAAAGGCC